AUUAAUUAGGAAAUUUAUUAAAAAGGAAUUAAACAAUUCAAUGACAAUCAUGUACGCUUUGGACACUUAAUAACGAUCUGUUCAAAUAUUAUAGACAUAUAUACCCUGAAGCCAAUAAAUGACCAUGUCUACUAUGAAAUAACAUGUAUCCUUCAGGGGUUUAAUUGCAUAGUUUGACAAUUAACCAUAGACUAGAAUGAUUUAACAUCCAGACGACUAUGUAAUCGGCCUACAGCUUUUUGUAUGGACCACUGGACUAUAUAAGAUUCCUCAAUGGACUACAAGGACGGAAUUCGAUUAGAC
rnacentral:lncRNA from 1 species